AGAAUCUUCCGCAAUGGGCGGAAGCCUGACGGAGCGACACCGCGUGCAGGAUGAAGGCCUUCGGGUUGUAAACUGCUGUCACGCUAUAGGAACCGCUUGGUGCAAACAGUGCCAAGCCUGACUAAAGCGAGAGGAAGCACCGGCUAACUCCGUGCCAGCAGCCGCGGUAAGACGGAGGGUGCAAACGUUGUUCGGAAUCACUGGGCAUAAAGAGCACGUAGGCUGCGCGCUAAGUCAGGUGUGAAAUCCCCCGGCUCAACCGGGGAACUGCUCCUGAUACUGGCGUGCUCGAGGACGGUAGGGGUGAGUGGAACUCCAGGUGGAGCGGUGAAAUGCGUAGAUAUCUGGAGGAACACCGGUGGCGAAAGCGGCUCACUGGACCGUCUCUGACGCUGAGGUGCGAAAGCUAGGGUAGCAAAC
rnacentral:rRNA from 1 species